rnacentral:lncRNA from 1 species
AUCCCAGCUUCGGGCUCAGACCUGCUGUGUCCCGCCCAGAACUUGUCUGCAUCCCUACGCUUCAGGUUCUGUACCCUGCUGUGCCCCUACUUCCAGAAUUCUGUCUGCAAUCCCCAUGGCUUCAGGCCUUUGCACCUGCACCUGCUGUGUCCCGCCCAGAACUCUGUCUGAAAUCCCCACGGCCGCCGCGGCUUCCAUGGCUCAGGUCUCAGCUUCAACGUCGCCUCCUGGGAGCGUGGGACCCGGGGAGGAGGAAGCGGGUCCCGGGGAGGCGGAACCGGGUCCAAGGAGGCAGAAGCCGGUUGUACGUAGGGCCGGUGGGCUCCUGAGGCUGACAAUCCCAGGCCCCCAGACCACGUGGGGAGGGAAGUCACAGCCAGCCUGGGGCUCCCAGAGGUUUGGGUGGGGCCUGGCUUGAGACCCCGUGGCCCUCACCUCAAGCUUCUGUCUCCCCUCAAUGCCCACUCCUCUUUGUGCCUAGUGCCCCUGGGGCUUCUCUUACAAAGACACCCACCACCCACAUCCAGCCAGGCCUCAUCUUAACGAGAUUACAUAUCCACUGGGGGCGACCCCAUUUCAAUAAAGCCGGGAAUUCCUAUGGUGCAGGCGUGAGAAUU